rnacentral:lncRNA from 1 species
AAUCCAUAAUUAAGCAAUUGGUUGAUAACAGUGUAUAUCAGAAGGUUGUGAAUAAAACUAUAGACUAACAUAGUGUGGAAAAUAUUACAAGAGUUACGCGCAAAGAAAAACGCGUAGAAUGAAGCUCAUCUUCUCAGGAAGCUCAAGGACGUAGAGGUACAUAUAUAGACCCCAGUUUUUGAGCACUUGAAUAAUUUUCAAAUAAACUUGUGUAGGUUGCGAUGAAUAUGAAGUUAAUUUGAGGAUAUAGGUACAUGCUUUGUGUUUGAUUAGCAAAUUGCCAGAUAGUUUGAAGAUUCUUGUUGUGUCUCUUAGUCUUAAUAAUUCCACAGUCCACGUCUGAUGGUGCUCUCUUUGAAGAUGGUAUGUUAACUGAAUGGUGAUAUAAUAUCUUUUCAAGAAAAUGAUGUGAGAUCCUGCAAUGAAGAAAUAAGGAGAUAUCUUUCUAUAUUGAAAUAUCAGUUGAAAAAAUCAUAGGCAAAUUCCUGAAUUGCCUCGUAAGAAUGUGAAGUAGACAGGAGCAAGGUUUAACGGCACAAGAUCGUAUGCUAAUUGAUUAGUGCCGAGGAAAGAACGGAAGCAAAAACUCAUAGAAUAAGUUGCAUUAAAAAGUCAAGCCAAAGAAAAUUCUUUAAUGUUGCUUUUGCAGUAAGUUAGGAUACGGAAGACAUUCAUAAAGGAGUACAUGAAAGUAAACAGGGAAGAUGGUAAGAUCGAAUGAAUAGAGUCUAAUAUGCACUUCAGGGUGCAAUACUGGUGUUAUUUAGGAUGCUGACAGUAUGAACACAACCAUAUGCCGAAAUUCUCAUUCUGGUGCUGCAUAUAGUAUCACUUCUCGAUGGGAUUUCUUCUCAUCUUACCCUAGAGGUUCUUUGGCUAUCUAAUUAAUAUGGGGAAUGAUAUUUAAUGUGGAAUUUUUGGCAUAUGAGAU